GACGAACGCUGGCGGCGUGCUUAACACAUGCAAGUCGAACGGUGAAGCGCUUUCCUUUUUGGUUGGUGUGGAUGAGUGGCGAACGGGUGAGUAACACGUGAGUAACCUGCCCCCUUCUUCUGGAUAACCGCAUGAAAGUGUGGCUAAUACGGGAUAUUCUGCGCCUGCUGCAUGGUGGGUGUGGGAAAGAUUGUGCCUUUGGGUGUUUUCGGUGGGGGAUGGGCUCGCGGCCUAUCAGCUUGUUGGUGGGGUGAUGGCCUACCAAGGCGGUGACGGGUAGCCGGGCUGAGAGGGUGGACGGUCACACUGGGACUGAGACACGGCCCAGACUCCUACGGGAGGCAGCAGUGGGGAAUAUUGCACAAUGGGCGCAAGCCUGAUGCAGCGACGCCGCGUGAGGGAGGGAGGCCUUCGGGGUGUGAACCUCUUUCGCCAGUGAAGCAGGCCUGCUCCUUGUGGGUGGGUUGACGGUAGCUGGAUAAGAAGCGCCGGCUAACUACGUG
rnacentral:rRNA from 1 species